rnacentral:sRNA from 1 species
GAUGGACCCCUUCAAGGACACGCUGCGGCGGCUGCAGGAGGCCUUCAACUCAGGGCGCACGCGGCCGGCCGAGUUCCGGGCUGUGCAGCUCCAGGGCCUGGGCCGCUUCCUUCAAGAAAACAAGCAACUUCUGCGCGACGUGCUGGCCCAGGACCUGCAUAAGUCAGCCAUCGAGGCAGACAUAUCCGAGCUCCUCCUUUGCCAGAACGAGGUCGACUACGCUCUCAAGAACCUGCAGGCCUGGAUGAAGGACGAACCGGGGUCCACAAACCUGUUCACGAAGCUGGACUCGGUCUUCAUCCGGAAGGAACCCUUUGGCCUGGUCCUCAUCAUUGUACCCUGGAACUACCCCGUGAACCUGACCCUGGUGCCCCUGGUGGGCGCCCUCGCUGCAGGGAAUUGCGUGGUGCUGAAGCCGUCAGAAAUCAGCCAGGGCACAGAGAAGGUCCUGGCUGAGGUGCUGCCCCAGUACCUGGACCAGAGCUGCUUUGCUGUGGUGCUGGGCGGACCCCAGGAGACAGGGCAGCUGCUAGAGCACAAGUUCGACUACAUCUUCUUCACAGGGAGCCCUCGUGUGGGCAAGAUUGUCAUGACUGCUGCCGCCAAGCACCUGACACCUGUCACCCUGGAGCUGGGGGGCAAGAACCCUUGCUACGUGGACGACAACUGCGACCCCCAGACCGUGGCCAACCGUGUGGCCUGGUUCCGCUACUUCAACGCCGGCCAGACCUGCGUGGCCCCCGAUUACAUCCUGUGCAGCCCCGAGAUGCAGGAGAGGCUGCUGCCCGCCCUGCAGAGCACCAUCACCCGUUUCUAUGGCGAUGACCCCCAGAGCUCCCCAAACCUGGGCCGCAUCAUCAACCAGAAACAGUUCCAGCGGCUGCGGGCAUUGCUGGGCUGCGGCCGCGUGGCCAUUGGGGGCCAGAGCGACGAGAGCGAUCGCUACAUCGCCCCCACGGUGCUGGUGGACGUGCAGGAGACGGAGCCUGUGAUGCAGGAGGAGAUCUUCGGGCCCAUCCUGCCCAUCGUGAACGUGCGGAGCAUGGACGAGGCCAUCGAGUUCAUCAACCGGCGGGAGAAGCCCCUGGCCCUGUACGCCUUCUCCAACAGCAGCCAGGUGGGGGUGCGGCCGGGCUGGGGACAAUGGAGGGGCUGAAAGGGGCACAGACUGGCACCUUUCCUUUCACAGCCCUUCCCAGCAGGGCUUUAGAGCAGCAGAUGCCUCCAGGGUGACUAUAUCUAGGCCACCUGGUACCACUGCAUCCGGCGCAAGGAUGCCUGGCA